AUGGCGACGGCGACGGCGACGUGCCUGCUGGCGGUCUGGGCGCUGGUCGCCGCCGGCCUGUUCGGCACGGGCCUCGCCCGGGCGUCCGUGGCCCCGGCCGCCGUCGGGAAGGAGCAGCGCGAGUUCGACUACUUCGCGCUGGCGCUGCAGUGGCCGGGCACCAUCUGCUCCUCCACCCGCCACUGCUGCGCCGUCAACGGCUGCUGCCGGUCGGAGGCGCUCCACACCUUCACGAUCCACGGGCUGUGGCCGGACUACGAUGACGGGACCUGGCCGUCGUGCUGCCGCCACACCAGCUUCGACAUGGACAAGAUAACGCCUCUGAAGCCCACUCUGGACAAGUACUGGCCGUCCCUCUACUGUUCGACCUCUUCCACUUGCUUCAGUGGCAGGGGCCCCUUCUGGGCUCAUGAGUGGGAGAAGCAUGGAACAUGCUCGUCCCCUGUUGUUCAUGAAGAAUUACAGUACUUCACCACCGCCAUUGAUCUCUACCUCAAAUAUAAUGUUACAGAAAUGCUGGCGACUGGAGAUAUCCUGGUCUCCAACGGUAAAGAAUAUGCACUGAGUGAUGUCAUUGAUACCAUCAAGCAUGCUUUUGGGGGCUCACCGCAGAUCAUAUGCAAGAAGGGCUCAGUUGAAGAACUAAGAUUAUGCUUCACCAAGGAUUUGAAGCCUCGCGAUUGCCUUACUACUUCGGCAAUGUACAAGAACCUAUCGAAAUCAAAGCAUUGCCCUCGAAAAAUCUCCCUGCCAACAUAUGAUCCCAUCGUACUCACAAAUUCGACACUGGAGAUUGUCCCAGAAGCCAGCGACAACGGGUUGUACUUCUUUACAUCCUAA
rnacentral:rRNA from 1 species